AUACGAAGGGGGCUAGCGUUGUUCGGAAUUACUGGGCGUAAAGCGCGCGUAGGCGGACUGAUCAGUUGGGGGUGAAAUCCCAGGGCUUAACCCUAGAACUGCCUCCAAUACUGUCAGUCUUGAGUUCGGGAGAGGUGAGUGGAAUUCCUAGUGUAGAGGUGAAAUUCGUAGAUAUUAGGAAGAACACCAGUGGCGAAGGCGGCUCACUGGCCCGAUACUGACGCUGAGGCGCGAAAGCGUGGGGAGCAAACAGGAUUAGAAACCCUUGUAGUCC
rnacentral:rRNA from 1 species